UUUGCCGCCGGCCCUCAGGCGGGUCCGGUGGGGAGAGGUCAUGCCAUGCUCUCCUGGCGCACGGGAGCAGCUCGCCCGGGUCUGAGGAGCCGGGACUCGGCAGCCGGGGAGGCAGCGAAAAACCUAUGGGGAAAGCUGCGCUGUCUAGGCACGUUCUCGUGUGCUUAGCGCGAGUGAGGGGCGGCUCUAAUUGUGGGGCCAGUUCUGAGCCCCUGAGUUCAGGAGGGACAUGGAAGUUCUGGAGAACGUCCAGAGAAGCGCCUGGAGCAGGAGGAGGAACGGCUGAGGGUGUUUUGGCUGGAGAAAAGAAAGCUCAGAGAGAAGUUUAGGACUCUUUACAACUCCUUGAAAGGAGGUUGUAGCCUGGUGGGGGUCGGCUCUUCUCCCAGGCAGCUGGUGCGAGCUUUAGGGGUCAUGGCCUCAAGCUGCACCAGGGAGGUUUAGUUUGGACAUCAGGAGGAAUUUCUUCGUUGAAAGGGUGAUUAGAGGAUGGAACAGAAGUUACUGUUCCCGGAGGUGUUUAAAGACUGGCACUUAGUGCCAUGGUCUGGUUGAUAUGGUGUUUGGUCAUGGUUUCGAUUCUAUGAUCUUACAGGUCUUUUCCAACCUAAUUAAUUUUGUGAUUAUGGGCAGCCCUUAAUUCCAAAAUGGUCAUGAGUAAGUAAUGUUUCCUGAUGUCCUGAUUCCAGCUGGGGCAGUGUUAAUUUUUGCAGCUGACAGGAGGGAGCAUGGCUCGGAUAUGGAGGUUAUUCUGUCCCACCUCACAUCAUUGGGCAUUGCCAGGAGCAGGGGGAAAAGAAGUUUCUUCCUAUGGAGAAAACGUGGAGGAGGGAGCCGACUGGUAUUGUGUAUUGGGAGUGGGGGCAGGUCUCUUACCCCUGAUGUUUCCAGUAUAUUGUGCUUCUAAUUCUCAACUCCAUCCUGUAAUAUAUGUUAUGGAAUAAUUCGGGCUUAUGUAAAAUAUACAUGAAAUAAGUUGUGCUUGUACGAACAAUCCUUAAAGUUUAAAAAAAAAACCACAAGCCGCAGCCGGGAAAGAUUGCGAAACCACAGAUGGCAGCAGGGAGAAAAACCUAAUUUACAAACGAAAAACCGUGGCUUCGUGCGGAGAUGGGCCCUUUCCUGGGACAAUGCAGGAGACACCCAAGCGAUGAAUACUCGAGAAAUAUCUGCGAUCAAGAUAGAGCCGUCAGGAGCAUAUAUCCCAAGCUGACGGUCAGCAUUCAUAUCGCUUCUCAGAAACAGCUUUGUCCAGCUCAGCACAGAGAAAAGGAGACCCGAUGAAUAAUGUGAAGCAACGAAAAGAACAGGAGAACCUCUGCCCCAGGCGGAAAAAAAGCUGUAUAAAACUAACCGGAGGGAGACAGCAUUCGUGAACAGAGGAGAUCCGAAGCGAUAGAGUUCGGAUCAGCGUUCACCCAGUGCCGGCUCGGCGCUGCCCCUUUGAUUGCGGCUAUCAGAGACCGAAUGUCGGUCGCGAAAUAAAAACCUAUUUUUAUUA
rnacentral:lncRNA from 1 species